rnacentral:sRNA from 1 species
UGCUAGUUUACAAUCAGCCUGGGUGACUUGGCAAGGUCCUCUCAAAAAAGGUUGUUUUUAGUUACAGAUUUCUUUGUUCCUUCUCCACUCCCACUGUUUCACUUGACUAGCCUUAA